rnacentral:rRNA from 1 species
AUUGAACGCUGGCGGCAUGCCUUACACAUGCAAGUCGAACGGUAACAGGUCUUCGGAUGCUGACGAGUGGCGAACGGGUGAGUAAUACAUCGGAACGUGCCUAGUAGUGGGGGAUAACUACUCGAAAGAGUGGCUAAUACCGCAUGCGAUCUACGGAUGAAAGCAGGGGAUCGCAAGACCUUGUGCUACUAGAGCGGCCGAUGGCGGAUUAGGUAGUUGGUGGGAUAAAAGCUUACCAAGCCGACGAUCUGUAGCUGGUCUGAGAGGACGAUCAGCCACACUGGGACUGAGAACCGGACCAGAGUCCUACGGGGGGCAGCAGUGGGGAGUUUUGGACAAUGGGCGAAAGCUUGAGCCAGCAAUGCCGCGUGCAGGAUGAAGGCCUUCGGGUUGUAAACUGCUUUUGUACGGAACGAAAAGCCCCGGGUUAAUACCCUGGGGUCAUGACGGUACCGUAAGAAUAAGCACCGGCUAACUACGUGCCAGCAGCCGCGGUAA